GGCUUAUUGAUAUUAAUUUUAAGUCUAUCUGCCCAAUGAUUUAAUUAUUUAAUGGCUGCAGUAUAAUUGACUGUACAAAGGUAGCAUAAUCAAUUGUUUUUUAAUUGAAAACUAGAAUGAAAGAAUUAAUGAGAUAUAUACUGUCUCAUAUAUAUUUAAUUAAUUUAAAUUUUUAGUAAAAAUGCUAAAAUAUGUUUAUGGGACGAUAAGACCCUAUAGAAUUUUAUAUUUAUAUUUAGAUUAAAAUUAUUUUGAAUAUAAAUAUUUAGUUGGGAGGAUUGGUAAAUUUAAUAAACUUUAUUUUAAAUAUAAACUUUUAUUUAAGAAUAAUUAAUUGAUCUUGUAUUAUAAAUUAAAAGAAUAAAUUACCUUAGGGAUAACAGCGUAAUAUCUUUUUAAAGGUCAUAUUAAUAAAGAUGAUUGCGACCUCGAUGUUGAAUUAAGAUAAAUUUUAAAUGCAGAAGUUUAAUGAUUAAGUCUGUUCGACUUUUAAAAUCUU
rnacentral:rRNA from 1 species